AGUCUGGUGCCAGCAGCCGCGGUAAUUCCAGCUCCAAUAGCGUAUAUUAAACUUGUUGCAGUUAAAAAGCUCGUAGUUGAAUUUCUGCUGCAUCGUGGUUCUUCGCUAUGUCGAGUGGGCCUCGUUGUGGCUUAGUUGGGGCAUGUUUUCAUGACUCGACGUUUACUUUGAGAAAAUUAGAGUGCUUCAAGCAGGCUUUUGCCUUGAAUACUUUAGCAUGGAAUAAUGGAGUAGGACUUUGGUUCUAUUUUGUUGGUUUUAGGAGCCGGAGUAAUGGUUAAUAGGAACAGUUGGGGGCAUUCGUAUUUGACUGUCAGAGGUGAAAUUCUUAGAUUUGUCAAAGACGAACUACUGCGAAAGCAUUUGCCAAGGAUGUUUUCAUUAAUCAAGAACGAAA
rnacentral:rRNA from 1 species